rnacentral:misc_RNA from 1 species
GAUGAAGAACGCAGCGAAAUGCGAUAAGUAAUGCGAAUUGCAGAAUUCAGUGAAUCAUCGAAUCUUUGAACGCACAUUGCGCCCGCCAGUACUCUGGCGGGCAUGCCUGUUCGAGCGUCAUUACAACCCUCAGGCCCCCGGGCCUGGCGUUGGGGAUCGGCGGAAGCCCCCUGCGGGCACAACGCCGUCCCCCAAAUACAGUGGCGGUCCCGCCGCAGCUUCCAUUGCGUAGUAGCUAACACCUCGCAACUGGAGAGCGGCGCGGCCACGCCGUAAAACACCCAACUUCUGAAUGUUGACCUCGAAUCAGGUAGGAAUACCCGCUGAACUUAAGCAUAUCAAUAAGCGGAGGA